CGUCCGCUGGCUCAAUGGUAGAGCGUCUGACUACGAAUCAGGAGGUUCCAGGUUCGAGACCUGGUGGGAUCG